UACAGAGGUGGCAAGCGUUGUUCGGAAUUACUGGGCGUAAAGGGCGCGUAGGCGGCCUACUAAGUCAGACGUGAAAUCCCCCGGCUUAACCUGGGAACUGCGUCUGAUACUGGAAGGCUUGAGGAUGGGAGAGGGAUGUAGAAUUCCAGGUGUAGCGGUGAAAUGCGUAGAUAUCUGGAGGAAUACCGGUGGCGAAGGCGGCAUCCUGGACCGGCAUUGACGCUGAGGAGCGAAAGCCAGGGGAGCAAACGGG
rnacentral:rRNA from 1 species